AACGCUGGCGGCAAGCCUAACACAUGCAAGUUGCGCGAUUUUUUAAUAGCAGCGAACGGGUGAGUAAUAUAUAAGAAUUUACCUAUUAGUAAAGAAUACUAUAUAGAAAUAUAUAUUAAUACUUUAUUAAUCCUAAUGGAUAAAGUAUGGGAAAGCCAUAUGCUAAUAGAAAAGCUUAUAUCGGAUUAGCUAGUUGUUGAAGUAAAAGUUUAACAAGGCUAUGAUCCGUAGUUGAUCUGAGAGGAUGAACAACCACAUUGGAACUGAGACACGGUCCAAACUUUUAAGGAAGGCAGCAGUGGGGGAUAUUGGACAAUGAGCGAAAGCUUGAUCCAGCUAUGUCGCGUGUGUGAAGACGGCCUUAGGGUUGUAAAACACUUUCAAUAAUGUAUGAAGAGUUUUUUUUUUAAAAAAAAAAUAACUUUGACAAAAUAUUAUAAAAGAAGCACCGGCUAACUUCGUGCCAGCAGCCGCGGUAAUACGAGGGGUGCUAGCGUUAAUCGGAAUUACUGGGCGUAAAGGGUGUGUAGGUUGUGACAAUAUGUUGUUUAUUAAAUUUAUUAAUAAAAUUAAUAAGAUAAACAAAACUUUAUCACUAGAGUAUAAAAGAAGAAAAUAGAAUUCCAAGAGUAGCAGUGAAAUGCUUAGAUAUUUGGAGGAAUACUAGUGGCGAAGGCGUUUUUCUAUUUUAAUACUGACACUGAUGCACGAAAGCGUGGGGAGCAAACAGGAUUAGAUACCCUGGUAGUCCACGCAGUAAACGUUGUCAACUAUUUAUUAAAUAACAUAAUUUUUAUAAUAAUUUUAAAGUUUUAUAAAUUAUGUAUUUUUAGUGAAAAAGCUAACGCGUUAAGUUGACCGCCUGGGGAUUACGACCGCAAGGUUAAAACUCAAAUGAAUUGACGGGGGCUCGCACAAGCGGUGGAGCAUGUGGUUUAAUUCGAUACAACACGAAAAACCUUACCUACUCUUGACAUCCAAAGAAUUUAUUAGAAAUAAUAACGCUAUAAUAUAGCUUUGAGACAGGUGCUGCAUGGCUGUCGUCAGCUCGUGUUGUGAAAUGUUGGGUUAAGUCCUAUAACGAGCGCAACCCUUAUCUUAUUUUGCUUUAAUAAAAAAUUAGAACUAAUAAGAAACUGCCAAUGAUAAAUUGGAGGAAGGUGAGGACGACGUCAAGUCAUCAUGGCCCUUAUGAGUAGGGCUACACACGUGCUACAAUGAAUAAUACAAAAAGUUAUAGCUAAAUGGCAACAUUAUGCAUAAUCUCUAAAAUUAUUCUUAGUUCGGAUUGAAGUCUGCAACUCGACUUCAUGAAGUUGGAAUCGCUAGUAAUCGUAAAUCAGCAUGUUACGGUGAAUACGUUCUCGAGCCUUGUACACACCGCCCGUCACACCAUGGAAGUUAAUUGUAUCUGAAGUAAUUUAAAUAAUACGACGGUAUGAU
rnacentral:rRNA from 1 species